CAGGCAAAUCCGGCUGUCGAAAGGCGAAGACGUGAAGCGGAUGGAAAGCUGAGGCAAGUACAGAAGUCCGUGAAGCAGGCUUCCAAGAAAAGCUUCUAGUGUUAAUCAUACAGUAACCCGUACCGAAAAUGGACACACAUGGGUGAGGAGAGAAUCCUAAGGUGAGCGAGAGAACUAUAGCUAAGGAACUCUGCAAAAUGACUCCGUAACUUAGGGAUAAGGAGUGCUCAUAGAGAUAUGAGCCGCAGUGAAACGGCCCAAGCGACUGUUUACCAAAAACACAGCUCUAUGCUAAGUCGAAAGACGACGUAUAUGGGGUGACGCCUGCCCGGUGCUGGAAGGUUAAGAGGAUGUGUCAGCGAAAGCGAAGCAUUGAAUUGAAGCCCCAGUAAACGGCGGCCGUAACUAUAACGGUCCUAAGGUAGCGAAAUUCCUUGUCAGGUAAGUUCUGACCCGCACGAAAGGCGUAACGAUUUGGGCGCUGUCUCAGCUGUAGACUCGGUGAAGUCUUAGUACCUGUGAAGAUGCAGGUUACCCGCGACUAGACGGAAAGACCCCAUGGAGCUUUACUGCAGCUUGAUAUUGGACUUUGAUGCAAGAUGUACAGGAUAGGUAGGAGACUGAGAGACAUGCACGCCAGUGUGUGAGGAGUCGAUGUUGGGAUACUACUCUUCUUGUAUUGGAGUUCUAACCGGAUGCCAUGGAACUGGCAACGGGACAGUGUCAGGCGGGCAGUUUGACUGGGGCGGUCGCCUCCCAAAGAGUAACGGAGGCGCCCAAAGAUACCCUCAGCUUGGAUGGAAAUCAAGCGCAGAGUGCAAAGGCAAAAGGGUGUUUGACUGCGAGACCAACAAGUCGAGCAGGGACGAAAGUCGGGCUUAGUGAUCCGGCGGUGCUGAAUGGAAAGGCCGUCGCUCAACGGAUAAAAGCUACCCUGGGGAUAACAGGCUGAUCUCCCCCAAGAGUUCACAUCGACGGGGAGGUUUGGCACCUCGAUGUCGGCUCAUCGCAUCCUGGAGCUGAAGUCGGUUCCAAGGGUUGGGCUGUUCGCCCAUUAAAGCGGUACGCGAGCUGGGUUCAGAACGUCGUGAGACAGUUCGGUCCCUAUCUGUCGUGGGCGCAGGAAGUUUGAGAAGAUCUGUCCUCAGUACGAGAGGACCGGGAUGGACAUAUCAAUGGUGCACCAGUUGUCACGCCAGUGGCACAGCUGGGUAGCUAAAUAUGGAAGGGAUAAACGCUGAAGGCAUCUAAGUGUGAAACCCGCUUCAAGAUGAGACUUCCCAUUACGAAAGUAGGUAAGACCCCUUAAAGACGAUAAGGUUGAUAGGUCAGGAGUGUAAGCAUGGCGACAUGUUAAGCGGACUGAUACUAAUAGGUCGAGGACUUAACCUAG
rnacentral:rRNA from 1 species